rnacentral:rRNA from 1 species
UACGGAGGGUGCAAGCGUUAUCCGGAUUCACUGGGCUUAAAGGGUGCGUAGGCGGGUAAGUAAGUCCGGUGUGAAAUCUCUGAGCUUAACUCAGAAACUGCCGUGGAUACUAUUUGCCUUGAAUAUUGUGGAGGUGAGCGGAAUAUGUCAUGUAGCGGUGAAAUGCUUAGAUAUGAGAUAGAACACCAAUUGCGAAGGCAGCUCACUGCACAAUUAUUGACGCUGAGGCACGAAAGCGUGGGGAUCAAACAGG